UACAGAGGGGGCAAGCGUUGUUCGGAAUUACUGGGCGUAAAGGGCGCGUAGGCGGCCUUCUAAGUCGAACGUGAAAUCCCUGGGCUCAACCCAGGAACUGCGUCCGAGACUGGGAGGCUAGAAUCCGGGAGAGGGAUGUGGAAUUCCAGGUGUAGCGGUGAAAUGCGUAGAUAUCUGGAGGAACACCGGUGGCGAAGGCGGCGUUCUGGACUGCAACUGACACUGAAAAACGAAAGCCAGGGGAGCAAACGGG
rnacentral:rRNA from 1 species